GCCCUCGUGGUGAAAUUGGUAAACACGCUAGAUUCAGGUUCUAGUGCCCGCAAGGGCUUGCUGGUUCGAGUCCAGUCGAGGGCACCA
rnacentral:tRNA from 2 species